ensembl:processed_transcript
UGACAAUAUGUGUUUAAUUAAGCUAUAAAGAUCAGAUGAAAUGCAUAGUGAAAUAUGAAAUAAAUGUCUCUUUUGCUGAAAAUUUAAUUAAUCUAUAUAUUUAUUAUUUUAAAAAUCAACUCAUUUUUGCCCAGAGAAAGAGGCGCGCGGCACUAGCGGACAUGGCGUGCUUUUCCAAAAAAAGACGUACAGUAACUUGCAGCUGAACUAUGCACAGUAAUAGGGAUACAAUGAAAAGCCGAUUUUCACUAUUGACCCUGUUUUUAUUCAUUGACGGCUUCCCAACGCCGCUUUUCUGUUGCGCGAAAAAAAGCUGCUGCAAAUAAGCAAAUUUAUGACAAAACAAUUUUAAUAGUUUCAUAGUAGUAGCUGGUGUGCUUCAUCUGCGUGAUUCUGAUUUGACAUUCUUCCGCUAAACUUGCACUGUGUUGAUGUGUAAAUGGACUAUGUGUUGAUGUGUUAAUGGGCUAUGAUCUUUGCUAUUGAGUUCUCUUUGCAACUUUCAAUUUCGAGGUGGGGGAAGUGGGAAGAGGCAAUUCAAAUGUACCAUCUCUAAAAAAAAAGGCCGCUUACGCGGCAUUUGUGUUUAUUAUUACCUUAUUUUUAUUUUAUUAUUAUUAAUUUAUUCAUUCAUUCUUCAUUCAUUUUCUUUUCGGUUUAG